UACGUAGGGUGCGAGCGUUGUCCGGAAUUAUUGGGCGUAAAGAGCUCGUAGGCGGUUUGUCGCGUCGACUGUGAAAACCCGAGGCUUAACCUCGGGCCUGCAGUCGAUACGGGCAGACUAGAGUUCGGUAGGGGAGACUGGAAUUCCUGGUGUAGCGGUGAAAUGCGUAGAUAUCGGGAGGAACACCAGUGGCGAAGGCGACUACCUGGCCUGUUCUUGACGCUGAGGCGCGAAAGCUAGGGGAGCAAACGGG
rnacentral:rRNA from 1 species